GUCCCCAUCGUCUAGUGGCCCAGGACUCCGGCCUCUCACGCCGGUAACAGGGGUUCAAAUCCCCUUGGGGACGCCA
rnacentral:tRNA from 1 species